rnacentral:rRNA from 1 species
GACGAACGCUGGCGGCGUGCCUAACACAUGCAAGUCAAAGGAAAGCGGCUUCGGCCGGGAGUACUUGGCGCAAGGGUGAGUAAUGUAUAGGUAAUCUGCCCUUUGGACUGGGAUAACCCCGAGAAAUCGGGGACAAUACCAGAUGAUGCAGCGGAACCGCAUGGUUAUGUUGUUAAAGAUUUAUCGCCAAAGGAUGAGCCUAUAUCCCAUCAGGUAGUUGGCAGGGUUAAAGCCUACCAAGCCUACGACGGGUAGCUGGUCUGAGAGGAUGAUCAGCCACAUUGGAACUGAGACACGGUCCAGACUCCUACGGGUGGCUG